GGCGCGGCUCCGACCGCCGACGCCUUAGGAACAGGACUGGUUCCGGCCCGACGGCGUCGGACUCGAGCUGGGCCAGGCCGGGCAGGGAGGCCUUGGUGAACAGCAUUUUGUUUUGCGGCUGAAGACGCCGCUGCACCGACGCCAGGAGGGGCUGGGAUGACGGCGGCCUCGGCCGAGGCCGCUUCCCCGGCUAAGCUUUACAAGGCGCCCUGGAGGCAGCCGCCGUGAAGCGUGGAGGGCAGCCUCUCUCCCUCCGGCCGCUUCUCCUCAGCAGCGUGAGCCCCGCGGGCCACCCCGCUCGCGCCGGGGCCUGCAGGAGCCCGAGGCGAAGGGCGGAAGCCGGCGCAGGGUGCAUUCAUGUAUAUCAGCAAAGGAAGUAAUGCUCUCUGCAUGGCAAUACAUAAUGGAAUCUGGAAAUGGACGAAGAAGCCAUAGAAGAAUUUGGAAAGCCUUUAAGAGUUGAAACAUGAAGAUCAUGCGAGUUCAGAGAAUUCUCAACCUACUUGGGUGCCUCUUGGAAGGAGACACAGGUCUUGAAAGAAGCACAUCGUUUAAGUAUCGUGCCUCGCCAAACAGAGCUGCAAUAAACGUCCUUAUAGAUCAGCACCUUUACUUCCAUGGUGCAGAAUCACACGAAUGAAACUGCUGAGGCAAACGCACAAUAGCCAAGACAUGGAAACAACAUAAAUGUCCAUUGACAGAGGAGUAGAUCCAGAAGAUGUGGUACAUAUACACAAUGGAAUAUUACUCAACCAUUAAAAAGAAUGAAAUACCACCCUUUUUUGCAACAUGGAUGGACCUAGAAACUAUCAUGCUAAGUGAAGUCAGCCAUACAAUGAGACACCAACAUCAAAUGCUUUCACAGACAUGUGGAAUCUGAAAAAAAGGACAGACUGAACUUCUUUGCAGAACAGAUGCUGACUCACAGACAUUGAAAACUUAUGGUCUCCAGAGGAGACAGUUUUGGGGGUGGGGGGAUGUGCCUGGGCUGUGGGAUGGAAAUCCUGUGAAAUCACAUUGUUAUGAUCAUUAUAUAACUACAGAUGUGAUAAAUUCAUUUGAGUAAUAAAAAAAAGGAAAAAGAAAAAAAAAAAAAGU
rnacentral:lncRNA from 1 species